rnacentral:rRNA from 1 species
UACGUAGGUGGCGAGCGUUGUCCGGAUUUACUGGGCGUAAAGCGCGCGUAGGUGGCUCUUUAAGUCCUGUCGUGAAAGGUUGCGGCCCAACUGCAACAGUGCGCGGGAUACUGAGGAGCUUGAGGCAGCAGAGGUCGGUGGAAUUCCCGGUGGAGUGGUGAAAUGCGUAGAUAUCAGGAGGAACACCAAUGGCGAAGGCAAGCACUCUGGGACGUGACGUG